GGUAGUAUCUGCAGUGUUCUUAAUGUGCGUGAUCUCAUGGAUUCUCAGAAAAACACCAGGAGGUGGGCACGUCUGAAAGCUCCCAGGGUUCAGAUGAGGGAAUUCAGGCUCAGCGAACAUCUGUGACUGCGAGGGCUGCCCCGCGAGUGGGGUUUCCUGGUUCUCGAGCCUGUCCUGCUGCCCCCAGAGAGCAUGGUGCCCGGCCGCGCACAAAGUGCAGGAGCACGGAGUGACACGACACGGGGGAUGGGAGCCCUCGUGGUGGCACCCGAGUAGGAAGGAGGAGGGAUUCAUCUGCUAAAGGAGGGACUGAAGCUGGAUCGUGCUCACCAAGGGAUUUGAAAGUGACAUUGUCUACUUCCCUGGGCAGCCAAGACCGUGUAGGGCACACUUGGAUCGUGUCUUCACAUGCCAAAUGGAGCACCGUUGUCAAGCAGGGCUUGGUCAGGCGUUAAGGGAGGAGCAAAGUUCCCAUUCUGAUUUCCUCUCAUUCAAAGUUAAUGUUGGCCAUAAGUCACAUCUGACUCGAGCCAUACCGAGGGAGAAAAAUGUUGUCCAGAGGAGUCAUCCUUUGUCCCUCCCACCAUCUUUCUUUAAAAAGGAAGGAAGACUAGGAGGAGGCAGGUGGGAUGAAGACAACAUUCCCCGGGAGGUAGAAGAGAAUUACUUUACUAUCUUUUGAAGAGCCUUUGGCAAAGAAUAUUUGGGGAAUAUUUAAAAGGCACGAUGACAUCAUAUGGGAAAGACACACAUUCAACCCACUACCAAGAAACACACAGAUGCAGCAACCAAGGAAACCAGCCUGCUCUUUUCUACUCCUCAAAGUCUCCAUACAGAAUGCCAUGCAGAAAAAGAGGAACGACUGCCAAAAGCAGAAAUAAAAGAAGCUCAGGAAAGACGAACCUAGAUGAGAAGUGAACUCUUAAAAGCUGGGACAUUCUCGAUGGAGGGCUGGACUCCUGCUUCUGAGAGAAGGAGCCCUUUCCCUGCUGCUGGAAUCUGGAGGCAGCCUGCCUCUGAGGCAUGGCUUCACGCACAGUUGUGCAGUUGUGCACUGUGCAAAUCGUCUUGGUUGGGGAGCUGAGUAGAAACUGAAUCUACUCACCAACCUGUGUGUCCCUAAGGAUGUGUGUGCCUAGAGGAGGCUCUUUUUUUUCUAUUUGCACAAAGGCCAUCCAUGGGCUAGUAGUUGCUUGCCUUGAGGGGAAGCUUGAUCAUUUUUUUCUCCAUUACAUAUUCAGAAUAGAAAAAAAAAAGACAGAGAGUUACAGGGGGAAAAGGAAAUGAGAGUUUUGUGGUUCUUGCAAAUGCCACCUUCCAUGCUAGCAAUCCGAUUUCCCUCAGCUCCUCCCCCCGAGCUACUCAUCCAAGUCAACAUACACUCUGCUUCUAAGUCUGGCACUUGUUGCGCCAACUUGGCCUUGGCCUGGUCCUCCAGCCCCACUGACACAAUCCCAGGAACCACCACUCCCUUCCUCUUUCACAAUGCUGCCGUUUGGAGAAAUGGAUGAGGUCUGAAGAGAAAAGGCAGGGUAUUUUUUUUUAAUUUUUAUUUAUUUAUGAUAGUCAGAGAGAGAGAGAGAGAGAGAGAGAGAGAGAGAGGGGCAGAGGCACAGGC